CUUUACCCCGACGAUCUCCUCCGUUCUCAUCAGCCAAAACGCCACCAAAGUCGCCACAAUAUCCACAAACCCUAAACUUUUCCCACCGAGAAAAUCUUUCCCAACAAGCUCUUUCUCCAAAAACAUCAACAAAUCUCUCGUCGCUUCAACCACAGCAUCUCUCUCUUUUCCGGUCUUCCCCACAACUUUCAUCGCCGUCACAUAAAUCUGAAACUCCCCAACAAACCGGUUUUAAAAACCCGGUUCAAAAACCCAAACCAGUUAUCGAAAUUGAAAAUUCAUACCUGUUCAUCGACGAAUUUAGACCAGAAUCGAGCCAUAGUUCUCUCAUACGGAUCUUGAGGAAGAAUCGGAUUGUCUCUCCAAGUCUCAUCAAUAUACUCAAGAAUCACAAGUGAUUCAGAAAUCGGUUUACCAUUAUGAACAAGAACCGGAAUCAUCUUAUGAACCGGAUUCAAUUGAAGCAACAAAGAGCUCUUGUUUGUGAUAUCUUGCUCCAGGAACUCAUACGAAACACCUUUAAGCGUAAGAGCAAUCUCAAUCCUCCGACUAAAAGGACUCGCCCACAUUCCCAAAAGCUUCACUUCCUCUGAAUUUGAUCUCUCCGCCAUUAUUUUUCGUUAGCUUCUUCUUCUU